UAGAGGAAGAUAUAAAAACAACAAGUUGUGUUUAAUUAGUAUAAUUAUGUAGCUGUAGCCUCUAGAGUUUCGUCGUAUCCAGAACACUGUUUCUAAUCCAAACCCAGGUCCAGGGGAAAAAGCAUGCAUGCAUGCAUGCAUAUAGACUUGAUCACAGUGUUGCUGUGCAUGGCAAUGCCAUUCGUCAUCAACCUGUGUCAUGCACAGGGCACCGCUUACGAUUCAUCCUUUUUCUUCGCUAUGAACUUCGAUCCAUCGAGCCAGCAAAAAGCACACAAGCAUUUUAAUUAUAAUAAUGUAAUAAUUAAGGAUUUGGCAUAUGACACUCUUGGACAAGUUGAGCAUCAGAUUCAUUAUUCAUAAAGAAGCUCAUCUUUUGAACUCCCAUGAUCCAGUUGCCAAGUUAGACACGAAGAAUCGGCACGAAAAUGACAAUGUUAUAUCUUAAUUCUUAGUUUAAAAGGCUUGAUGAUUAUAACAACACCUACUUGGGAAAGAAGAAGUGCUUUUAUGUAUGUAUCAAAAUAUAGUUCGUAACUUUAGUGGUUUUAUUUUUCUUAAUAUUGGAAGAGAUGACAUAUUAGGUGUGUUUAGUUCAUGUCAAGUGGAAGGAAGUCGGUGUUAUAUACAAAGAAAUUUGUUACAAGAAUAGAAUCAAUCUAGAAGAAAGAUAUC